CAGGAUUAGAUACCCUGGUAGUCCACGCUGUAAACGAUGAUUACUCGUUGUCGGCGAUACACUGUCGGUGGCUAAGCGAAAGUGAUAAGUAAUCCNCCUGGGGAGUACGAUCGCAAGGUUGAAACUCAAAGGAAUUGACGGGGGCCCGCACAAGCGGAGGAGCAUGUGGUUUAAUUCGAUGAUACGCGAGGAACCUUACCUGGGCUUAAAUGCUUAAUGACUUACUGGGAAACCGGUAUUUCUUCGGACAUUUUGCAAGGUGCUGCAUGGUUGUCGUCAGCUCGUGCCGUGAGGUGUCGGGUUAAGUCCCAUAACGAGCGCAACCCCUAUCGUUAGUUGCCAUCAGGUCAUGCUGGGGACUCUAACGAAACUGCCCGCGUAAGCGUGGAGGAAGGUGGGGAUGACGUCAAAUCAGCACGGCCCUUACGUCCAGGGCUACACACGUGCUACAAUGGCCGAUACAGAGGGCAGCCACUUGGUGACAAGGAGCAAAUCUCAAAAGUCGGUCUCAGUUCGGAUCGGAGUCUGCAACUCGACUCCGUGAAGUUGGAUUCGCUAGUAAUCGUAGAUCAGCAAUGCUACGGUGAAUACGUUCCCGGGCCUUGUACACACCGCCCGUCAAACAAUGGAAGCUGGGGGUACCUAAAGUCCGUAACCGUAAGGAGCGGCCUAGGGUAAAACUAGUAACUGGUGUUAAGUC
rnacentral:rRNA from 1 species